rnacentral:rRNA from 1 species
UGCGUAGGCGGUUUACUAAGUCAGAUGUGAAAGCCCCGGGCUUAACCUGGGAACUGCAUUUGAUACUGGUAGGCUAGAGUAUGAUAGAGGGGGGUAGAAUUCCUGGUGUAGCGGUGAAAUGCGUAGAUAUCAGGAGGAAUACCAGUGGCGAAGGCGGCCCCCUGGAUCAAUACUGACGCUGAGGUACGAAAGCGUGGAUAGCGAACA